rnacentral:rRNA from 1 species
UACGUAGGGGGCAAGCGUUGUCCGGAAUCAUUGGGCGUAAAGAGCGUGUAGGCGGCUAGAUAGGUCCGUUGUGAAAACUGGAGGCUCAACCUCCAGCUGUCGAUGGAAACCAUCUGGCUAGAGUCCGGAAGAGGAGAGUGGAAUUCCUGGUGUAGCGGUGAAAUGCGCAGAUAUCAGGAAGAACACCCGUGGCGAAGGCGGCUCUCUGGGACGUGACUGACGCUGAGACGCGAAAGCGUGGGGAGCGAACAGG